GGAUAGUUCCUGUGUGAUUUUUGAAUUACAUUCCUAUGCCCUUGUAAGGCAUAUUGCUGUGUCUUGGCUGCUGCAGUAUUUUGGGGAAGUAUUUAAGAUGUUCUUUACUUUGUAUAACCAAUAAUGCUUAGGACAGAAUGGGCUGAGCAGAUUUGGCAGCUCUGACCUGUAAAUGUGAGUCUAUCAAAUAAUGUGAUAAUGAAAUGCGUGUGGAAAGAUAAAUGGGGAUACUUUAAUAGGGCUUCUGUGCCUGCUGACAUUUGCAAUUCUCUGCUAUGAGAAUUAGAUUUAUGAGAUACACAAAAUCGUCAAGACCUCAGAGAAAUUAAAGUGCUAUCACCUUUGUGUAAGUUGCUCAGCUCUUAAACUCUUCUGUGAUAUAAAAAACAUAAAGGGGGAUAGUGAUUUUUUUUAAUAUAAUCAUGCUCUUAAGCUCUGUGUGAUGUACAAGUCUGUUUAAAUUAAUAAUAAAAAUGUCAUUGGGAUAUUU